UACGUAGGGUGCGAGCGUUGUCCGGAAUUAUUGGGCGUAAAGGGCUCGUAGGCGGUUUGUCGCGUCGGGAGUGAAAACCAGGUGCUUAACACCUGGCUUGCUUUCGAUACGGGCAGACUAGAGGUAUUCAGGGGAGAACGGAAUUCCUGGUGUAGCGGUGAAAUGACGCAGAUAUCAGGAGGAACACCGGUGGCGAAGGCGGCCUGCUGGGCAGUUGCUGACACUGAGGCGCGACAGCGUGGGGAGCAAACAGG
rnacentral:rRNA from 1 species